AGAUUGAACGCUGGCGGCAUGCUUUACACAUGCAAGUCGAACGGGCUGUUGGGGCAACCUGGCAGUCAGUGGCGGACGGGUGAGUAAUGCAUCGGAACGUGUCCCGUAGUGGGGGAUAACCCGGCGAAAGCCGGACUAAUACCGCAUAUGCUCUACGGAGGAAAGCGGGGGACCUGAAAGGGCCUCGCGCUAUGGGAGCGGCCGAUGUCCGAUUAGCUUGUUGGUGGGGUAAUGGCCUACCAAGGCGACGAUCGGUAGCUGGUCUGAGAGGAUGAUCAGCCACACUGGGACUGAGACACGGCCCAGACUCCUACGGGAGCAG
rnacentral:rRNA from 1 species